rnacentral:rRNA from 1 species
CUCUUCUUGAAUAUAUUUUGAUGUAUGGCCUGCCCACUGAAUAUUGAAGGGCCGCGGUAUUUUGACCGUGCAAAGGUAGCAUAAUCAUUAGUCUUUUAAUUGUAGGCUGGAAUGAAUGGUUUGACGAGGUGUUAACUGUCUUUAUUUUUUUUUUGAACUUAAAUUUUAGGUUAAAAUGCCUAAAUGUUUUUUUGGGACGAGAAGACCCUAUAGAGUUUUAUAUAUUUUUAUUUUUUUUGUAUGAUAAUUUCUAAUGUAAAAAUUUAUUUUGUUGGGGUGAUGGAAAGAUUUAAUUAACUCUUUUUAUUUAUUUUAUAUUUAUUUAUAUGUAUUUGACCCAUUUAUAUUGAUUAUAAAACUAAAUUACC